rnacentral:rRNA from 1 species
AUGAACGCUGGCGGCGUGCCUCAUACAUGCAAGUCGAGCGAACGGACGAGAAGCUUGCUUCUCUGAUGUUAGCGGCGGACGGGUGAGUAACACGUGGAUAACCUACCUAUAAGACUGGGAUAACUUCGGGAAACCGUAGCUAAUACCGGAUAAUAUUUUGAACCGCAUGGUUCAAAAGUGAAAGACGGUCUUGCUGUCACUUAUAGAUGGAUCCGCGCUGCAUUAGCUAGUUGGUAGGGUAACGGCUUACCAAGGCAACGAUGCAUAGCCGACCUGAGAGGGUGAUCGGCCACACUGGAACUGAGACACGGUCCAGACUCCUACGGGAGGCAGCAGUAGGGAAUCUUCCGCAAUGGGCGAAAGCCUGACGGAGCAACGCCGCGUGAGUGAUGAAGGUCUUCGGAUCGUAAAACUCUGUUAUUAGGGAAGAACAUAUGUGUAAGUAACUGUGCACAUCUUGACGGUACCUAAUCAGAAAGCCACGGCUAACUACGUG